rnacentral:rRNA from 1 species
UACGAAGGGGGCUAGCGUUGCUCGGAAUGACUGGGCGUGAAGGGCGCGUAGGCGGUUUGUACAGUCAGGUGUGAAAUUCCCGGGCUCAACCUGGGGGCUGCACUUGAUACGUAUGGACUGGAGUGGGGAAGAGGGUCGUGGAAUUCCCAGUGUAGAGGUGAAAUUCGUAGAUAUUGGGAAGAACACCGGUGGCGAAGGCGGCGACCUGGUCCUUGACUGACGCUGAGGCGCGAAAGCCAGGGGAGCAAACGGG